rnacentral:rRNA from 1 species
UACAGGGGGGGCAAGCGUUGUUCGGAAUUACUGGGCGUAAAGGGCUCGUAGGCGGCCAACUAAGUCACACGUGAAAUCCCCAGGCUUAACCUGGGAACUGCGUUUGUGACUGUAUGACUAGAGUACGGUAGAGAGGGGUGGAAUUCCUGGUGUAGCAGUGAAAUGCGUAGAUAUCAGGAGGAACAUCGAUGGCGAAGGCAGCCCCUUGGACCUGUACUGACGCUCAUGCACGAAAGCGUGGGGAGCAAACAGG